GAUGAACGCUGGCGGCGUGCCUAAUACAUGCAAGUCGAGCGAACGGACGAGAAGCUUGCUUCUCUGAUGUUAGCGUCGGACGUGUGUGUAACACGUGGAUAACCUACCUAUAAUACUGGGAUUACUUCGGGAAACCGUAGCUAAUACCGGUUAAUAUUUUGAACCGCAUGGUUCAAUAGUGAAAGACGUUCUUGCUGUCACUUAUAGAUGGAUCCGCGCUGCAUUAGCUAGUUGGUAAGGUAACGGCUUACCAAGGCAACGAUGAAUAGCCGACCUGAGAGGGGGAUAGGCAACACUGGAAGGGAGACACGGACAAGACUACUACGGGAGGCAGAAGUAGGGAAUAUUACGCAAUGGGCGAAAGCCUGACGGAGCAACGCCGCGUGAGUGAUGAAGGUCUUCGGAUCGUAAAACUCUGUUAUUAGGGAAGAACAUAUGUGUAAGAAAAUGUGCACAUCUUGACGGUACCUAAUCAGAAAGACACGGCUAACUACGUG
rnacentral:rRNA from 1 species